AGAGUUUGAUCAUGGCUCAGGAUGAACGCUGGCGGUAUGCUUAACACAUGCAAGUCGAACGGUCGCAAGACAGUGGCGGACGGGUGAGUAACGCGUAAGAAUCUGCCUACAGGACGGGGACAACAGAGGGAAACCCCUGCUAACACCCGAUGUGCCGAAAGGUAAAAUAUUUAUAGCCUGUAGAUGAGCUUGCGUCUGAUUAGCUAGUUGGAGUGGUAACGGCACACCAAGGCGACAAUCAGUAACUGGUCUGAGAGGAUGACCAGUCACACUGGGACUGAGACACGGCCCAGACUCCUACGGGAGGCAGCAGUGGGGAAUUUUCCGCAAUGGGCGCAAGCCUGACGGAGCAAUACCGCGUGAGGGACGAAGGUCUGUGGAUUGUAAACCUCUUUUGUCAGGGACGAUAAUGACGGUACCUGACGAAUAAGCAUCGGCUAACUCCGUGCCAGCCGCCGCGGUAAUUC
rnacentral:rRNA from 1 species